rnacentral:rRNA from 1 species
CCUACGGGAGGCAGCAGUGGGGAAUAUUGCACAAUGGGGGAAACCCUGAUGCAGCAACGCCGCGUGAGUGAUGACGGCCUUCGGGUUGUAAAGCUCUGUCUGCAGGGACGAUAAUGACGGUACCUGAGGAGGAAGCCACGGCAAACUACGUGCAAGCAGCCGCGGUCAUACGUCGGUCGCGCGCGUUAGCCGGAUUUACUGGGCUAAAAGGGGGCGUAGGUGGAAUUUUAUGUGAGGUGGGAAAUACGGGGGCUCAACCUGGAAAAGCGUUUAAAACUGGUUUUCUUGAGUGGGCGAGAGGUAAGCGGAAUGCCUAGUGUAGCAGUGAAAUGCGUAGAUAUCAGGAGGAACACCAGUGGCGAAGGCGGCUUACUGG